rnacentral:tRNA from 1 species
GGCAGAGUGGUCUAGUCGAAUGAUUCGCGCUUCGGGUGCGCGAGGUCCCAGGUUCAAUUCCUGGAUGAGCCC